rnacentral:tRNA from 1 species
GAUUAAUUAGUUUAACUUAAAAUAUUAGUUUGUGGAACUAAAGAUAUAUUAGUCA